rnacentral:rRNA from 1 species
GAUGAACGCUGGCGGCGUGCCUAAUACAUGCAAGUCGAACGCGCAGCGAGAGGUGCUUGCACCUUUCAAGCGAGUGGCGAACGGGUGAGUAACACGUGGAUAACCUGCCUCAAGGCUGGGGAUAACAUUUGGAAACAGAUGCUAAUACCGAAUAAAACUUAGUAUCGCAUGAUAUCAAGUUAAAAGGCGCUACGGCGUCACCUAGAGAUGGAUCCGCGGUGCAUUAGUUAGUUGGUGGGGUAAAGGCUUACCAAGACAAUGAGGCAUAGCCGAGUUGAGAGACUGAUCGGCCACAUUGGGACUGAGACACGGCCCAAACUCCCACGGGAGGCUGCAGUAGGGAAUCUUCCACAAUGGGCGCAAGCCUGAUGGAGCGACGCCGCGUGUGUGAUGAAGGCUUUCGGGUCGUAAAGCACUGUUGUAUGGGAAGAAAUGCUAAAAUAGGGAAUGAUUUUAGUUUGACGGUACCAUACCAGAAAGGGACGGCUAAAUACGUGCCAGCCGCCGCCGUAA